rnacentral:ncRNA from 2 species
CCCAUUCCGCGUGACUGGCGACUAAAGGUGGGCGACCACCGGGGAGCGCGGACUGCAGACCGCCGCGCGCCUGGGCAUUUUCC